GACGAACGCUGGCGGCGUGGAUUAGGCAUGCAAGUCGGACGGUAGGGCUUUAUCGUAAGAUAGAGUUUGAGAGUGGCGAACGGGUGAGUAACACGUAGGAAUCUACCCUUAAGACGGGGACAACCCAGGGAAACUUGGGCUAAUACCGGAUGAGAGUGCGAGAGAUUGCAUUUAAAAGGAUGGCGAAAGUUGUCGCUUAGGGAUGAGCCUGCGGUCUAUUAGUUAGUUGGUGAGGUAAGAGCUCACCAAGGCGAUGAUAGAUAGGCGGCCUUAACGGGUGGUCGCCCACACUGGGAUUGAGAUACGGCCCAGACUCCUACGGGAGGCAGCAGUCGAGAAUAGUCUACAAUGGCCGGAAGGCUGGAUAGUGCGACGCCGCGUGAACGAGGGAGCCCUUCGGGGUGUAAAGUUCUUUUAUAUGUGAGCAGUGCUUCUUAUAUUUAACAGUUAUGGGGAGAGAGAUAUUAGCAUAUGAAUAAGCAACGGCUAACUCCGUGCCAGC
rnacentral:rRNA from 1 species